rnacentral:ncRNA from 1 species
AUAAUGAUACUUCUGCUAUGACAGCAGGCCGCUUGAUGGGGGCUGGUGAAAUUCCAAUGA